GGCCUGGUGGUGUGGUGGUAACAUGUCCUCUUUGACUAUUCUCUUCUGUCAACCAUGUGAGGAGGUUCCCUGUUCGACUCGGGGUCAGGCUA